rnacentral:rRNA from 1 species
ACAGCAGUCGCCGCGGUAAUACGUAGGGUGCGAGCGUUAAUCGGAAUUACUGGGCGUAAAGCGCGCGCAGGCGGUUAUAUAAGACAGAUGCGAAAUCCCCGGGCUCAACCUGGGACCUGCAUUUGUGACUGUAUAGCUAGAGUACGGUAGAGGGGGAUGGAAUUCCGCGUGUAGCAGUGAAAUGCGUAGAUAUGCGGAGGAACACCGAUGGCGAAGGCAAUCCCCUGGACCUGUACUGACGCUCAUGCACGAAAGCGUGGGGAGCAAACAGGAUUAGAUACCCGCGUAGUCCCUGUCUCUUAUAC